rnacentral:tRNA from 1 species
GCCAAGGUAGCCCAAUUGGCAGAGGCGCCGUGUUCAGGACACGGAUGUUCGGGGUUCGACUCCCCGCCUUGGCACCA